UACGGGAGGCAGCAGUGGGGAAUAUUGCACAAUGGGCGCAAGCCUGAUGCAGCCAUGCCGCGUGUAUGAAGAAGGCCUUCGGGUUGUAAAGUACUUUCAGUCGUGAGGAAGGUGUUAAGGUUAAUAACCUUAGCAAUUGACGUUAGCGACAGAAGAAGCACCGGCUAACUCCGUGCCAGCAGCCGCGGUAAUACGGAGGGUGCGAGCGUUAAUCGGAAUUACUGGGCGUAAAGGGCACGCAGGCGGUUAAUUAAGUUGGAUGUGAAAUCCCCGGGCUUAACCUGGGAAUGGCAUUCAAGACUGGUUAGCUAGAGUCUUGUAGAGGGGGUAGAAUUCCAUGUGUAGCGGUGAAAUGCGUAGAGAUGUGGAGGAAUCCGGGUGGCGAAGGCGGCCCCUGGGACAAAGACUGACGCUCAUGUGCGAAAGCGUGGGGAGCAAACGAGGAUUAGAUACC
rnacentral:rRNA from 1 species